rnacentral:rRNA from 1 species
UGCGUAGGAGGGCAGGUAAGUCAGUGGUGAAAUCUUUGGGCUUAACCCGAAAACUGCCAUUGAUACUAUCUGUCUUGAAUGCGGUGGAGGUGAGCGGAAUAUGUCAUGUAGCGAUGAAAUGCUUAGAUAUGACAUAGAACACCGAUUGCGAAGGCAGCUCGCUACACCUGCAUUGACUCUGAGGCACGAAGCGUGGGGAUCAAACA